rnacentral:rRNA from 1 species
GACGAACGCUGGCGGCGUGCUUAACACAUGCAAGUCGAACGGAAAGGCCCUGCUUUUGUGGAGUGCUCGAGUGGCGAACGGGUGAGUAACACGUGAGUAACCUGCCCUUGACUUUGGGAUAACUUCAGGAAACUGGGGCUAAUACCGGAUAGGGGCUCCUGCUGCAUGGUGGGGGUUGGAAAGUUUCGGCGGGUGGGGAUGGACUCGCGGCUUAUCAGCUUGUUGGUGGGGUAGUGGCUUACCAAGGCUUUGACGGGUAGCCGGCCUGAGAGGGUGACCGACCACAUUGGGACUGAGAUACGGCGCAGACUCCUACGGGAGGCAGCAGUGGGGAAUAUUGCACAAUGGGCGGAAGCCUGAUGCAGCAACGCCGCGUGCGGGAUGACGGCCUUCGGGUUGUAAACCGCUUUCGCCUGUGACGAAGCGUGAGUGACGGUAAUGGGUAAAGAAGCACCGGCUAACUACGUG